AUUGUACGCUGGCGGCAUGCUUUACACAUGCAAGUCGAACGGUAACAGGCCUUCGGGUGCUGACGAGUGGCGAACGGGUGAGUAAUGCAUCGGAACGUGCCCAGAGGUGGGGGAUAACGCAGCGAAAGCUGUGCUAAUACCGCAUGUGAUCUGAGGAUGAAAGCGGGGGACCAGGCAGCAAUGUUUGGCCUCGCGCCUUUGGAGCGGCCGAUGUCAGAUUAGGUAGUUGGUGGGGUAAAGGCCUACCAAGCCGACGAUCUGUAGCUGGUCUGAGAGGACGACCAGCCACACUGGGACUGAGACACGGCCCAGACUCCUACGGGAGGCAGCAGUGGGGAAUUUUGGACAAUGGGCGCAAGCCUGAUCCAGCAAUGCCGCGUGCGGGAAGAAGGCCUUCGGGUUGUAAACCGCUUUUGUACGGAACGAAAAGGCUCUGGCUAAUACCUGGGGCUGAUGACGGUACCGUAAGAAUAAGCACCGGCUAACUACGUG
rnacentral:rRNA from 1 species